rnacentral:tRNA from 1 species
UCCUCCAUAGUUCAGUUGGUAGAACGGCGGACUGUUAAUCCGUAUGUCACUGGUUCGAGUCCAGUUGGGGGAGCCA